rnacentral:lncRNA from 1 species
GGAUAUAACCUCCUUUAAUAUAUUAAAGUUCGGCAAAAAAUUCAACAUGUACGUCUCAUACAUGGACCACAAAGUUCAAUACCUCAUCAUUGACUAGCAAUCAAUGUCACAAAACAAAACAACAAGAAUGCAUAGGAAAACGAAAAAAAAAAAAAAUUCUUUAGUGAUGUACCAGGGUGGUUGGUGGCUGGUGGUGGUUCGGUACGGUAGGAAGUGGUGAAUCGAUGAUGAAAGCCUCUCUCGUUUGCAACUGUUGAUUUUUGGUGGCUGGGUAGCUAGUGGUGUCGCGGUGCGGUGGCGACUUGGACCUUAGAGCAAUGUGGCCGCUUGGACCUUAGAGCCCGAGUUCAUGUUGCCAAUCGCUGCGAUCGUUGAGGGUUGUUGUUGGAGGCUUGGACCAUGGCGCAGCGUUGCACGGGUUCUCUCGAGUCUUGAGGUGUGCCGAAUGAUGUGUCAAUGUAUGUUUUUGUGUUUUGAGAGUGUGAGAUUUGUCAUGUGUGUGACGUGUAAUCUGUGUGUAUGAGUGAUUUUUUUUUUUUAAGUGUUAGAAUCGAAUCGGGAAAGACCCGAAUCCUAACUCUUAAUAUUUUUUUUUUGAAGUCUGUUAUACAUAGAUAUUACUGAUAUUAUAUCAGACAUUACAAUUAAUAUUUACAAUCAUAUUAUAUAAUUGAGACCACCGCCAUACAUUGACACACUGAAGUACAUGCC